rnacentral:rRNA from 1 species
AUCAGGUGGACUACCC